GGAUAUUUGGUCCAUACAGUUACCAUCCACAAGAAUACAUGGACUCAGGGGUUUCUGCCCACUUCUGAACCUGCAAAGCUUCAUGGCUGAAAAGGGAGGCUUUCUGAGGGGCAGUGGUGUGGUGCACAAAGCUUUGGGCAGAAGCAGAGCCUGGGGACUCUGUGAUGGAAGCCCACUGCCUUCCAGCCCCAGCCCGAGCAGCCUGGAGAGAAGAUGUUUGUCUGCCCAUUCCCAGCCCACCCUGAGUUCCCACCCGGUCCCUGGACGCCAGGACUCUUGACUCACUGCAUUCCAGGCCCUAGCUUCUGCGGUUACUACUGGCAAUGGCACACCAGGAGCCCUGGGACUCUGGCUGUGCACCAAGGUCUAGAUUGCAAAGAUGCCUGAAACCAGAGGGGGAAACCAGAGAAGAAUUCAUCAAAAUGAUUAAAAUUGCAAGAAACGGGGGAAGGGAAAGUGAUACCAUUUGCUAUGGUCUGAAUGUGCCCCAUAUACUGAAAAUGUAAUCCCCAAUGCAAUAACGUGGGGAGGUGGCUCCUAGUGGAGGUGCUUAACUCUGCCCUCAUGA
rnacentral:lncRNA from 1 species